GACGAACGCUGACGGCGUGCUUAACACAUGCAAGUCGAACGGAGAGGCCCUGCUUUUGUGGGGUGCUCGAGUGGCGAACGGGUGAGUAACACGUGAGUAACCUGCCCUUGACUUUGGGAUAACUUCAGGAAACUGGGGCUAAUACCGGAUAGGAGCUCCUGCUGCAUGGUGGGGGUUGGAAAGUUUCGGCGGUUGGGGAUGGACUCGCGGCUUAUCAGCUUGUUGGUGGGGUAGUGGCUUACCAAGGCUUUGACGGGUAGCCGGCCUGAGAGGGUGACCGGCCACAUUGGGACUGAGAUACGGCCCAGACUCCUACGGGAGGCAGCAGUGGGGAAUAUUGCACAAUGGGCGGAAGCCUGAUGCAGCAACGCCGCGUGCGGGAUGACGGCCUUCGGGUUGUAAACCGCUUUCGCCUGUGACGAAGCGUGAGUGACGGUAAUGGGUAAAGAAGCACCGGCUAACUACGUG
rnacentral:rRNA from 1 species